rnacentral:rRNA from 1 species
UACGAAGGGGGCUAGCGUUGCUCGGAAUCACUGGGCGUAAAGGGUGCGUAGGCGGGUCUUUAAGUCAGGGGUGAAAUCCUGGAGCUCAACUCCAGAACUGCCUUUGAUACUGAAGAUCUUGAGUUCGGGAGAGGUGAGUGGAACUGCGAGUGUAGAGGUGAAAUUCGUAGAUAUUCGCAAGAACACCAGUGGCGAAGGCGGCUCACUGGCCCGAUACUGACGCUGAGGCACGAAAGCGUGGGGAGUAAACAGG